ACGGAAGGCAGCAGUGAGGAGUAUUGGUCAAUGGGCGGAAGCCUGAACCAGCCAUGCCGCGUGCAGGAAGACGGCCCUAUGGGUUGUAAACUGCUUUUGUAGUGGGGCAAUAAGGUGUACGUGUACACCGAUGAGAGUACAUUACGAAUAAGCAUCGGCUAACUCCGUGCCAGCAGCCGCGGUAAUACGGAGGAUGCGAGCGUUAUCCGGAUUUAUUGGGUUUAAAGGGUGCGUAGGCUGUUUGUCAAGUCAGAGGUGAAAGCCCGGGGCUUAACUCCGGAACUGCCUUUGAUACUGGCAGGCUUGAAUACUGUUGCCGUGGGAGGAAUGAGUAGUGUAGCGGUGAAAUGCAUAGAUAUUACUCAGAACACCGAUUGCGAAGGCAUCUCACGAAGCAGCGAUUGACGCUGAGGCACGAAAGCGUGGGGAUCAAACAGGAUUAGAUACCCUGGUA
rnacentral:rRNA from 1 species